UUAGGUAGUAUCGCUGGCUCUUUAUUUCUACUUUAUAGCUGCAUUGUUAGGAAAACAGCUUAUUCCAAUAACCGAUGCCACCAUGAAGGGAAAAUAUGAGGAACCGGACAUGUAUUUUCCGUUUUUUACUGCAUUACAGUUCUGUUUCUAUAUUGGCUGGUUGAAAGUUGCCGAGGUACUAAUCAAUCCAUUCGGUGAAGAUGACGACGAUAUUGAACUCAACUGGCUCAUUGACAGGCACAUAAAGGCUGCUUAUAUUAUUGUGGACGAAAUGCACGAAGAACACCCCGAACUGCUUAAAGAUCAGUACUGGGAUGAUGUGGUACCGAAAGAGAUUCCCUACACAGUCGCCUCAGAACACUAUAGACGAGAAGAACCUAAAGGUUCAGCCGAAACUUACAAAGUUAAGACAACCGAUGCCCUGUAUGCCAAUCUUUUGCCACAAGGACAUUUUAAAAAAAGUAUUGUGGACGAUAUGUAUGCAGAUUAUGAAAGCGUAGAUACACCGAUCGUUGAAAGAAGAAAAAGUCAAAACUGGUUCAGCAGACAGAUCUCCAGAACUGGAAUGGGAUCGAUUCGGUCAGCCUCCUGACCGCUUACUCGUCUGGAGGACUAUUUUUCCAGGCCGAGAGGCAAUUCCGUCUAUGCCAAUCCAGAAAAUGGACAAAUACACAUACCCCAUCAAAAGAUGUCUAUUUAUGAUCGUUUGGUUGGAAGAAGAUCCGGAAGGAAUCAGAAAUUCAAACCAAGUCAAAAAUUUGCAGGAGCUUCGGCUAUGAACGU